rnacentral:rRNA from 1 species
UACGUAGGGGGCUAGCGUUGUCCGGAAUCAUUGGGUGUAAAGCGCGUGUAGGCGGUUCGGUAAGUCCGCUGUGAAAGUCGGGGGCUCAACCCUCGAAUGCCGGUGGAUACUGUCGGACUAGAGUACGGAAGAGGCGAGUGGAAUUCCUGGUGUAGCGGUGAAAUGCGCAGAUAUCAGGAGGAACACCAAUUGCGAAGGCAGCUCGCUGGGACGUUACUGACGCUGAGACGCGAAAGCGUGGGGAGCAAACAGG